UACAGAGGUGGCAAGCGUUGUUCGGAUUCAUUGGGCGUAAAGGGUUCGUAGGCGGACUGGAAAGUUGGGUGUGAAAUCCCACGGCUUAACCGUGGAACUGCAUUCAAAACUCCCAGUCUAGAGUGUGAGAGGGGUGAAGGGAACUCCCGGUGUAAGGGUGAAAUCUGCAGAGAUCGGGAAGAACACCAGUCGCGAAGGCGCUUCACUGGCUCACUACUAACGCUGAGGGACGAAAGCUAGGGGAGCGAACGGG
rnacentral:misc_RNA from 1 species